CACGCCCUAAACGAUGCGAACUGGAUGUUGGGUGCAAUUUGGCACGCAGUAUCGAAGCUAACGCGUUAAGUUCGCCGCCUGGGGAGUACGGUCGCAAGACUGAAACUCAAAGGAAUUGACGGGGGCCCGCACAAGCGGUGGAGUAUGUGGUUUAAUUCGAUGCAACGCGAAGAACCUUACCUGGCCUUGACAUGUCGCGAACUUUCCAGAGAUGGAUUGGUGCCUUCGGGAACGCGAACACAGGUGC
rnacentral:rRNA from 1 species